rnacentral:rRNA from 1 species
CCUACGGGUGGCAGCAGUGGGGGAUAUUGCACAAUGGGGGGAACCCUGAUGCAGCGACGCCGCGUGGGUGAAGAAGCGCCUCGGCGCGUAAAGCCCUGUCAGCAGGGAAGAAAAUGACGGUACCUGAAGAAGAAGCCCCGGCUACUACGUGCCCGCCGCCGCGGUAAUACGUAGGGGGCAAGCGUUAUCCGGGUUUACUGGGUGUAAAGGGGGCGCAGACGGCGAUGCAAGCCAGGAGUGAAAGCCCGGGGGCCAACCCCGGGACUGCUCUUGGAACUGCGUGGCUGGAGUGCAGGAGGGGCAGGCGGAAUUCCUGGUGUAGCGGGGAAAUGCGUAGAUAUCAGGAGGAACACCGGUGGCGAAGGCGGCCUGCUGGACUGCAACUGACGUUGAGGCCCGAAAGCGUGGGGAGCAAACAGGAUUAGAUACCCCAGUAGUC